GAUGAACGCUAGCGGGAGGCCUAACACAUGCAAGCCGAGCGGUAGAGUUUCUUCGGAAACUUGAGAGCGGCGCACGGGUGCGUAACACGUGUGCAACCUACCUUUAUCUGGGGGAUAGCCUUUCGAAAGGAAGAUUAAUACCCCAUAAUAUAAUGAUUGGCAUCAAUUAUUAUUGAAAACUCCGGUGGAUAGAGAUGGACACGCGCAAGAUUAGAUAGUUGGUGAGGUAACGGCUCACCAAGUCAAUGAUCUUUAGGGGUCCUGAGAGGGAGAUCCCCCACACUGGUACUGAGACACGGACCAGACUCCUACGGGAGGCAGCAGUGAGGAAUAUUGGACAAUGGGUGAGAGCCUGAUCCAGCCAUCCCGCGUGAAGGAUGACGGUCCUAUGGAUUGUAAACUUCUUUUGUACAGGGAUAAACCUACCCUCGUGAGGGUAGCUGAAGGUACUGUACGAAUAAGCACCGGCUAACUCCGUG
rnacentral:rRNA from 1 species